rnacentral:lncRNA from 1 species
GUGUUUGAUUGAAAGUAGACUUUCGAGUGUGCAAUAAUAACCUACUAAGACAUUAUGUGAAACCGUUGGUGUUCGUGGAUUAGGUAUCAAUUCUACUUAAACUUUAUAUGCUUGUGGCAUGACACAUAUCACGCUAGAUGUUGCUUGAACUUUUGAUUAUUUUGAAUUUUAGAAGUUUUAAAAGUAACAUAUUUGACCUGGGUUCUGCAGAAACCUUUCCAAUUCAUCGUUGACUGGAUUCAUCACACCGCAGCUUGGCUCUCUAAAUUCUUUGCAGAAACUGUAUGUGUUUUGUUUAUUGUUACAUACUGGUUUCUGAUAAAUUAUGUCUGAAGAUUUCUUCAGUGGAAGAAAUUAUGAUGAUGCAUGCCUAUUUUGCAGAAUUUUGAGUAAUAAUUCUUUUCAUGGAUUGAUACCUAAACAACUUAGCAUGUUGAAAAGCCUUACUGAGUUAGAUUUGAGUUUCAAUCAUCUAUCUGGACCAAUUCCUCCUGAGAUUGGAAAGUUGACUAGAAUUGUGAAAAUGUAAGAAGCAGACUGUAUCCUGACAAUUUUAGUUACUUAAUUUUUGUAUUAUUUUAUUGUUUGCUAAUGUCUUUGUUACUGGUGUUAUUCUUAGAAAUAUUCGGUCUAAUGGGCUGAUUGGUACUUUGCCCCCCGAGCUUGGUAAGCUGGUGAGGCUUGUUGAGCUAUGGUUAGAUAGAAACAAGCUUAAUGGAGACAUUCUUGGAAGCAGCAAUUUAAAUAAGUAAGUGAUGCUUACUCAUAUUCUAAUAUUUUUUAUAUUUGUUCUGUUAUGUUUCGAUUUACAACCUAAGGCUGGAAUUGGACCACAUGAAAUUGAUGAUACUCCAACUCAAUUGCCCAAGCAAUUAAUUUUUACAAAUUAAGAGAGUUAGCACCACAAUAUAGUGAAAAUAUUCUGACUUUAUCUUAUAAGAUUCCUUUAUUAGUUUUGCAUGAUUGCUAUGUCUAUUUAUCCUUGAAAUGUUUGUGAAUUUUGUGAGGGAUAUAGGUGGAGAUAGCAGCAAAGUUAGAUUUCUUAAUGCCCUACAAAAUUGGUUAUGAGGGUUACUGAUAAGCAUGUCAACGUUUUUUGGAGAAAUGUAUUUGAUGAAGCCAAAAUUCUUCUCAAACAAUGGAAGCCAAAGACCUCCUUAGCUACAGACCAUAAUGAAAUAAGUAGAACAAAAAAAAAGGAUAGCAAUAAAAUCUUUUAAUGUCUGCAAACUCAUCUACUUUUAUGAGAUAACAGAGAUAAGUAGUUAGGUGCUUGUGAUAGUUGAAGUGUCAAAACUUCAAAACUUUGAAAGUGGCCUCUUGGACAACCGACAGGCUUGAACAUUUAUGGGGAUGCAAUGGACUUAAAUGCUUAUUAUGAUUGAGAAUGAUGCUCAUAACGGGGAGACUGUCAUGGAAAACUGGCAGUGAUAAUGACAGUUUAUCCAACAUCAGCUAGGAGAGCAGGAUCACUUAAAAUCAGUGAAGACUUGCAUGCUGUUGAUUUGUCAAACCAUGCCAGGUUUAUAUGCACCAAAAUCUGCAAUUUACACACUAAUACUCAUGCUUAUUUUGAAAGAAAGAGGCAUCUGAAACUUUGAUGGAAAAAGAUAUAUUCCUAGUUCAGUUGGAUAACAAGCAUGAAAAACAAACCUCCCUUAAAGGCCAGCUUGCGCAUUGAUUGGAGAGAGGGCCAUGAUCACCAUUUACAACCAGUGGAAAUCAUAAUGAUACAACUGUGUGAUAGCCUAGGACCUUUGCAGUGGGUAAGAGAGGUCAAAGAUCAGGUAAGAGUAAACAAGAGAAAGAGAAGCCUGCUUGGCAUGAUCAUUACCCUUGCAAUUCUCUAUUUAUAGAGGUUGAACAGCUGAAAAAAAUGGAAUCCUAGUAGGAUAGAUUUAUCCCUUGGAGGUGGUUGAUUACGUACACAUGUCAGCAAAUCUAGUUUAUACCACCCAUUACAAUCAAUUAUUUCUGAUAAUGAAUUAGCCUAAAAUAUCCAUCAUAUCUUGUCAAAUAUUCUCUAGCUUAUUCACUAUUUUUUAUCAUAUCUUAUAGAACCUUCAUAAUUUUUUCAAAUUUUAACAGAAAACAAACUAAGAAGCCCUGUCUAUAAUGGUGUUUACGAACAAGAUAUUAAAAAGUUACUAGAGGCAGAUUUCUGGAUUGCUGUGAUUGUUGUCUGAUCUAUUACUUCUCUGCGGAACAUACAAGGGGUAUGACAAGGCACCACAACAACAAGAAGUUUCCUAAAGGAUAUGGAGGUGUGCAAAUAUAGGUCUAGCAAUUGUUCUGCUUAUGAGACCGUUCACUGUAAAUAUGCAAAUAGGAGCAAUUGACCACCUUUGUUAUUACUGAAGUCAAAAGAAAGGCAGAUAAGAGAAAACAUUUUGUUGUUACUUCCACUUAAUGAUCAUGUCUGGUGGUUUAAAUAGUCAGUGCAUCAUUGUGGAACACUUAUAUUUUCUAUUCAUCAUUGCAUAUAUUCCCAAUGACAGUAGGGUGCUCGAUCAUGCUAAUGAGGCCUGCAAUGUGUAUCAUAAGUAUGAUAUUAUAUAAACUAAUAUGUUUAAGAAAGUCUUGCAAAUUUCUUUUAAAAGUUUUCUUUAAUGGAAUAUGGAACCCUUUUCACAGGAAAAUUUCAAUAAGAUGCUUGUUGCAGAUUAUGUUGCAAUGUUAUAUUAAGGAAGAUGGCUUUCUUUAUUUCAAAAUGUUGGAUAAUGUUUUGCAUUUAAAUUUACUAUCUUGGAUAUUAUUAAAGAAAGAUAUUAUUUGGCAUUUAUUUUCACCUAGGAUUAAAUGCUUUGUGUUCUUUUCCUAAUUCAGGUCUGCCUCCCACACUAAUGGCACUGGCUUAUGCGGAUUGCAUCGGUUAGAAGUUGGAGACUUCUCAAACAACUUUUUUGUUGGGAACAUACCCUUAUGCUUGAAGUAUCUUCCCAGGUACAAAGUUUUCUGUUAAUACCAUUCAGUCAAUUUGUCCUAGCUGAACUUGAUUUGCUUUAUUUUUCACAGAACAAGCUUCCAAGGAAACUGCCUCCAAGUUGAACACUCCGUCUCACAACGCUCUGCUCAACAAUGUAGGCUACACCCCUUCAUAAAGCUCUUUCCUUCUUUCCUUUUAUUUUAUUCUUUUCUUUUAUUUUUUCUUUUUUUGGGAGAAGUUUCACAAAGUACUUUUUUUUAAAUAUUUUUUUCCAAAAUACAGGCAGAGAUCCCUGCUUUUAGACUCUAAAUGGUUCAUCUUGUUGUGAAAUCACUCAUUUUAUAUGUGAAUCUUUUUGCAAAUUUACAAACAUUACCUGUAUUACUCAAGGUUCUCAUCUUGGUCAAGAUCUCUGUUUAUAUCAAUAUAUGUAAAAUCUCGGACCUUAUUAUCUCGGUAAAUAUGAACUGAUAUAACCCGAGAUAAUGGCCGAUAUAAUAUACACAUAUUGGCAGAUAUUUUCUCAUCUUUUAUUAACUAUUUAACAUUGUAUGUUCAUAGUUUCUUUACUAGUUUUGGAUAAUAAUCAUUAAUUUAGACAUUAGGGAUCUGUGCUGGGACGAUGAUGACAGUUGUUGGAAUAAUUGAGGGUGGCGAAGCAGGGAUGAUGUGUGGGGAUGGGAAAAGGAAGGAAAAGAGUAACAAGAUAGGGAAGAAAAAAGGGAUUUAGAGAGAUAUAGGGAGAAGAUAAGAGAAAGGAAAGGAACAGCGGAGCGACAGGAGGCAAAGAAGCGAUUACCAGUGGUGGACUGAGAAGGUAGUCUAGAGGGUGAUAAUUUGAUAACCCAACAGAAGGCCAAACAUUUAUCAGAUCAGUUCUGAAGCUGAUGGUCAGGCUGGUGGGCAUCGAUGGUGGGGCAGCCUGAUCAGUGGUGAAGGGAUAGGUUGGGGAAAGGGAAUAGAAGAGGAGAUUAGAGAUAGUCCGAAGAGAAAUAGGGAUUCCUAACUUAAAUUAACUAAUCUAGCUAGUAUGAUAAUCGAUCUUGCUUUUACUAUAUUGGCCCAUCUUCUGGUAUUUAAGUGGUAAAAUAUCAAUGGAGAUUCCAGAACAUCUCGGUUAUUGAAUUUUUGCUGGACUUUUCAUCUCAGCCCAGAGAAACAGAUAUCUCGGUUGAACUUGGUAUUGGGCACUGACCAAGAUACUAGCAUGUCGGGUUUUAAAAACCUUGGUAUUACUCACGUUGAUAUACUUAAAUUGGCACUUGACUUAACCAUCAUUUUUUUCCAACCUAGGUUAUUUCAUUUUCCAUAUCAUCAUCCAUUUUAUUCUUGUCUUGCACUCUUUUCCCAUAUUUUUACUGUUCAAUGCUUCCAUUCCUGCAUAUCUUCCAUUUAUUUCAAAUCCCUUUUUCCUUCAUAAAUCUUGUCUAUAAGUGGUUAUGAAAGUGAUAAUGACCGAUACUAAAAUACAUGGGUCCUUCCGAUAGGGGUAAUGCAGAAUAGAACAGAUCAUGAGAACACAGUUAUCCCAACAGUGUGAUCUCAACUAGACAUGCUGUCAGGUAUCAGUCUAUCAAUAUUAAUAGCAGACACAAGUGCUGAUGCCAAGUUACUACUGUAGAAAUCUUGCCCCUAGUUUUGUGUCUUUUAACUGAUCUAAGGAGAAAGAAACCAGAAGCCAAAUCCUGCCUCAAUUGCCUUAAGGAUUGAAUUCAUGGUUUUAAAUGUUGCAUGCUGAUGUUGUGUUUUGCUAGUGCUUAGCAUGCAUGAGCAUGUAUGCACCAGCAUGCAUCCACGCCAUGUGCUGGUCUAGUCCUGGCAUGGUAUGUCAUAAGCCAUGUCAACCGGCAUUGCAUUUAAUCCUUGACUAAGCUUCGUGCAAUGCCUUAUCCAUCUUGGGUAUUUUAUAUUACAUCAGACAUCUCAUUCUAACUUAAGCAGCAUCCAUUACACAUGGGAAAGGGAACCUAUCAUCUCAUCAAUGCCUCAAAAAAUCAUCUCAUACAUGAAAUCAAGGCCUUGUUAAGGUAUUACAUCUUGCUGUUAAUCUAUAAAGACCUUGAUCAUAGUAACGUAAACUACUUAACUAUAUAGUUAACAACAUGCAUUCUUCUUACAUGAUAUGUAACCAAACAUACAAUUUUUAAAAUUCCAAGCCAAAGUAAAAAGGAGGAAGACAUUAAUGGGUCAGUUAAGAUAAAACCAUUAAAUAAUGUUAGCACAAAGCUCAAAUACAUUGCACGGAUUUCAUUAUUCUAAUAAAACCAUAGAAUUGUAAAAGUUAUAGUCUAGUACAUGCAUUGUUCUUGUGUGACUAAAUAACAGAGGUACAACUACCAUAAAUACACAUCCUACCAAAAUAAAUUGUUGUGGCUUGUGAGGCAAAAUUUGAUUUUCUCCCUUCUGAUUUCCUAUUUGAUCUCUUUACUUUAUUUUCUUGCUGGUGUAUGGUAAGAUCUGACAAGUAACAUGCUGCCUUUUUGCAGCUCUAAUGGCAUAAUCUUUAGAUGACACCCUCAUUAUAAGAUUGUUCAAUGUGCAUCACACAAGAACUAUGCCAUCUUAGUCAGGUAAAAGAAAUGCUAGUGGAAAGUUAACAAUCUAAAACAUUGGUUCAGCACUCCAAAAGCAUGUUCUAUGAAGGUUCAUAAGGAAGAGUGUUCAAGGUUGUAAACUUCCUUUUAGCUUUUGGUCAGAUUUUGUAUGCUGAAAAUUUUCUAGUGGUAUUGUAUGCCACAAAAUGGAAAAAUGAUGUAGGCUGUAAUUUGCAUUUACCAUCAACUAGAAAUUAUUUUACUACAUUUUGCAUGCAUCCUUUUGUUGUGCAUAAUAGAAUGGAACGUGUUGUACACAUCAGCCAUGAAACUGUGAACUAGAACUCUAGAAUCAUUUUGUUUUACUGGGGCACUACAUAGAAAUGACGUUCAUUUGCAAAUCUCCCCAAACAGUCUAUGCAUUAGAGAAAUGAAGGAAAAAUGUUAUGGCAGCCAUGAGGCCCGUGACAUCCCGUGACAUUCUAAGGAGGUCUAUGAUAAUCAACCAUCUACCAACAAUGUCACUCAUAUUGUGGUAGGCAUAUGUGUUUGGAAAGACCAUAACAGUUUAAUUAAGAAUUCCUGACAUGCUAAAGUGUCGUUUUCCUGUAGCCAUAGGUUUGAGUUCUAGCUGGAACUCCAAAAAUAAAAAUGAAGCUCUUCAGUUGCCUGACACUACUACAAAAACGAGGUUAAUUUUGAAGGUCUAACUUUAAAAAAUAAAAAAUAUGGGCAGUUUGUUGGUUUUUUUGUUUGUUUAUUCUUUUCCCUAAAUUUAGAAUGCCUUUUGUUGACCUUACACUUAUAUUUUUCAUGUAUUGUGAAAAUUAAAAGGAUUUCCAUAUCUAUUUUUUUUAGUAACCUUUGAGAACUCUUUCUCUCUCUCUCUCAUGUGUUUAUGUGUGAAGAGGGGGUUGGGGCCAGAGGAGAUUUUUUAGAAGAGAAAGAAAAAGGUUUUAGUGUAUUUUGGCCCUAAUGGAUAAAGAGUUUGUGAGAUUUGAGGUUUGACUUAAGGUUUUAGCUAAAAUCUCCUCUUUAGCUUUCAAGUUCCAGAAACCAAAGUGUAUUCCUCUCAGAUAUAUUUUGUGGACAAAUAAUGUUUUCUAGAUGAUAAAUAUGGAUAUGUUAAUUUUUCUUAUUUCUUUAGGUUGGUAUCAGUAGUUUUCCAUCAAACAAUUGUAUGAUAGCUGUUAUGACAUGAAUCAUGGGCUUUAACUAAUUCAUUUUUCAUUCUUUGAUAUCUUGUCUGGUUACAGUCCAAAAACAAUAUACUCCAAAAUAAUGCCUAACAUAUUUUAUUGACUUGUAUUAAUUUUCAUUUUAUGUUUUAUUUCUAAUAUUUUUAUAUCUAAUAUUUUAUUUUUAAUAUUUCUUAUUUAUAAAACUUAUUUAUUUUCUUGCUGAAAAUUUAAAGCUCCAACCGUAAGCACUGAACUAAAAGUCUAUUAGUUGAAGUGAAACCAAAACUGGAGUUUAGUCUUCAUACAUUGCCUGUAGAUAAUAAAAAUUAGCUAUUCACCAAUUUGGGCAUCAUAUUUUAUUUUAUCUAGCAUAGAUAAGUUUUAGGGUUUGCAUGAGAGCCUUUUAAGGAGACAAUAGCUUUCAAUACAUUCCUAACUACCUCUCAAUAAUCUUGCCUGAACAGCAAAUAUUGUGAUCAAUAACUCAAUUUUUGGUUGUCCUAUAGCUCACAAACAUAAUCAAUUAUUGAUUACCAAGUACAUGGAUAGUGUCAUGUGGGAUUUGCUGUUCGCCAUUAUGGUUUUUAACCAAUUAAGGAUUUUUUUGAGUCACCCUUAUUAUUACAAUGGAGGUCUUGUCAGUAUUACAUACUUGAUUAAGAAAAAAAAGGCCUUUUGGUUUCAUGAUAAUUCAAUUUUGUUCCUGUAACAUCUAAUUUUCGAUUUUGAAUUUUAGCAAAGGCUGUGCAUAGGCCAAUAGGGCAAUCAGAUAAUGUUGUUAAAGUCCCCAACUUUGUAAAGGAAACAAUAUUCCCAGGUGCCCCGUUUUGGGUGUGUGUGGGGGUGGGGGGUGGGGGGUGGGGGGAAGGGGUGGUUGGAGGCAUAGACUGAUGGAUUUUGGCAUGGCUUAACAUUAUUCAGGUUGAGAGUUAGGUGGCUGAGAGAGUUGGUAGGUGAGGGAUAGGUGUUGGGGUAGGGUAAUGGUGGCGGGGUGGAGAACAAGAAGCAUAGGAGAUGCGGUUGUGCUAGUUGAGGUGGUGGUAGAUGUGUGAAGGGUUGGGGAUUGGGUGGUGGUGGUGGUGGAUGACAAGAGUUGGUGAUACAGUGCUGGCUGUCAAUUUGGUGAUGUGAGUGGUAAAGUAGAUAAGAGGUUUGGAGGGCAAUGGGCAUGGAGGAAGGAUUUAGGGGAAAUGUCAUGAGGGUUGAGAUUAGGGUGGGUUAGGUGGGGAUAUGGGUGCUGGAAAGAGUGAGUGAGUGAGAGAGAGAGAGAGAGAGAGAGAGAGGAGGACNNNNNNNNNNNNNNNNNNNNGAGAGAGAGAGAGAGGAGCGGUGAGAGCUGAGAAGCCCACACUUGGAGGAGGUGAUAGUGUUGUACCUCUAAGCAACAAACCCUAAUUUCACUUUUCUAUGGGUCCUUUCUUCUUCUUUUUUUCUGGAGAUUUUUGCAAAAUUUGAAAUGCCUAGUUUCUCCAGGUUUUAUGAGAAGUUUCUUAGAUUAUUUUACCAAAUGAGGAACAGAAAACUGAGUUUUAAAAAUAAAAAAUUACUUUCAGGCUGUUUUCCUUGCAAACAAAAAGGCCAAAAUGGGACUUCUUGUAUUAGAUCUUUAUUUUUUAAAAAAAACAAAAAUAUGCCCCUUAAAACCUCGUAUCCACAAAAUUGUGCUAAUACUCUUUCCAAGCAUGUGACUAGCAAACCUUAGAAGUCCAGCAAACUUCAGCAAACCCUAGGUACGUAUCUUAAGUUAUCUAAAUAACUGUAUUGUCAUAAAUCUGAUAUGAAUCUGUGCACAAGUUUUGAUUUUCUUGAAAAAUUAGGACAUAAGCAUGGCUACAGAACUUAAAUGGCGCACCAAAGGCUAAUAGAAUGCUUUUAUAUUUCAAACAUAGUAGAGUGAUGCUAACUGGACUUUGAGAUAUGAAAUUACAUGGCCCUGGAACUCGAACAUACACACUUUUCUGCUUGCCGGUGCCUACAGAGUGGCACGACACUGCAGUAGUUACGUCUGGAGUUGGAUGCUUUUGACUCUAAGCAGUGUUUUCCAAUCAAAAAAUUUCUAUACUUUUGAUGCCCAUAGAUAUGAUGGUCCAACAUUUACGGAUAGUAUAUAAUGUGAGACUUUGGGUGGUGAAGCUCACAUAGUAAGAUUGCCUGAGGCAUGUUUCAAGUUUCAGUAAAAUUUCUAUAGUUGGUACUAAAGUAAUGACUGUCUGCAAUGGAUAGAUCAAGAUUGUAAUGUCAAAGCACCAUGUUUUAGUGCCCCUCAAGCUCAUAGCAAUAUGAUGGUAAUGUCCCACCACCGGGGUUUGAACCCUGGACCUCCCCUAAUAGCAAGCCAUUAGGAUAGGAGCGCCAACCAGCUGAGAUAAUAGCUGGUGCCUUAUUCAUUCCUUAUUAUUUAAGCUUUAGUUUUACAUAUUGACCAUAUAACAUUUGAUAAGCUUUACAUGGAAAACUUGUUAUGCUGGGUCUUUCAUGCAAGUAUUGUAUUACUGAGUUGCCUGAACAGAUGUAAUUAUAACUGGCAUGGGGGCUAAUUACAAAGCACCUACCGAACAGUUUUAUUGUAGAAGACAGCAUUUGCAACGGCUAAUAGAGGUCUUGAAUAAAGUAAAAGUACACCUUGAAUCUGACAUUAUGAUACAGCAUCUCAGAUUCCAUUUCUUGCAUAAACUCUCUUCUAUGUGAUUCUAUAAUGAAAAUGUGCUCUCUAUUCAUUUUAGGUAGCUCUGCAAAUAGCCAGCAAGUUGCCAGUGACACAAACAAUAGUCCCUAUGAGGGGAAAAAAAACAAAAAGCCACGGGAACCAGUGUGGCUUCUGAUUCUGGAAAUUAUAACAGGAGCUCUUGUGGUCCUUUUUCUAAUAACCUGUACUAGUGCUGCUUUUAAGAGAUGCAAAGCUAAAUCGUCUGCUAUUCUUCCAUGGAAAAGAACCACAGACUGGAAGGACCAGAAAACAAUAUCAAUUGGUAAGCAAUACCAUUGUGUUUAUUGUUUUACUUAGUGACAGUUCUGAUUUUGGAUGCUAAUACAAUGGGAUCUAUGUCACUGGUUGAUGAUAUUGCUGCAUACAGAUGGUGAGUUACUGAAAAAUGUAUUAAGAAUAAGCCGCCAGGAGCUUGAACUAGCUUGUGAAGAUUUCAGCAACAUAAUUGGGUCAUAUCCGGAUAGUGUAGUUUACAAAGGUACUGCGAAGGAUGGGCCUGAAAUUGCUGUUAUAUCACUUAGUAUUUCAGAAGAUCACUGGACAAGUUACCUUGAGCUUUACUUUCAGAAUGAGGUAAUUUGUCCACCAAAUUCUGUUCUGAAUUCCAGGGACCCACAUAACUUAAGAAUGUUAAAUAGACACUGUAUGUGCUUCAGGUGGCAGAUCUGUCUAGGUUAAAUCAUGAAAACACAGCAAAGUUGCUAGGCUACUGCAAAGAGAGUGAGCCAUUUUCAAGGAUGCUUGUUUUUGAAUAUGCAUCAAAUGGGACACUGUAUGAGCACCUGCACUGUGAGUCAGAAUAAUAUUUUAUUUCUUGUUGAGGGGAUUGCUUAUUUUGACAUGCUAUAGGAGCUCAUGAAUCUAAUAUGCACUUUUGUUGUAGAUGGUGAUGGAUGCCAGCUAUCCUGGUUCAGACGAAUGAAAAUUGCUGUAGGUAUUGCUCAUGGACUAAAAUAUCUACAUACUGAAUUGCAGCCUCCAUUCACAAUGUCUGAGUUAACCUCCAGUGCAGUUUAUCUGACUGAAGAUUUCUCUCCAAAGGUAUCUAUCAUGUCUGGCAUGUCGGAGAUUGUUAGAUGCAGUUGCUGGUUUAAUCUGUCAUGGUUUAGAAAAUAAAAGAUCAGUAUAAGUGCAUGCAUGCUAAUAGGCUGGUCCAUAUUUGGUAUGCUUCUCAUCUUAAAAGAUCUGGAUCAGCAUCUAGAACUUGGACCUGAAUCAGCCAUUAUUCUGAAGGAUUUGGUCUGGCAUAAGCCAAUACUGGCUUGGACUUGAGUUGGUUCUUAAUGUCUGAACCAAAAACACUCAUAUUCUAAAGAAUUUUGUUCUGGCAUAAGGCCAAUACUGGCUUGAGUUCAAGUUGGUUGAAUGUUUGGACUUGAAACAGUCAUUAUUCUAAAUGAUUUGUUCUGGCAUUGUACUUGUUUGUGCUUGAGCAGGUUCUGAACAUCUGCAACCAUGACUUCCCCUUCCUUUUUCUUCAUUUUCUUUUUCCCUGCUUUGAUCAACCUGAUCAACUUAAACUUGUAUCACAUAGACAGGAUGGCAUUUAAGAGUCAUUUUCUUUUUCAUUUUUUAUUUUUUGAUUUGUUUUUCUUUUACAAGAAUCGUAUUUCUUAUGGGCUGUGGCUUUUUCUGUCUUGCUCAGCACCUGGCUAACUUGAACAAUUGUGCAUGUAUGCUGUCUACCCUUGUCUACACAUUUGGAAGAAAACUUGACAUAUGAAUGCUAAACUACCAAAAAAGUUUGAUUGGGUUUCCAAUAGAAUCCAACUUAUAAAGGAUCUAACCUUAUUUUAUUGGUGGCUUUACAUCUAAUCAACAUUAAGUUCAUUGAGACUGUUAGGACAAUAUUCUUGUGAACCAAUGUAGAUAGAAAGAUUUACUUGCAGUUCAUCUACUUCCAGUUUUUCUAUCAUCAACAGCAAUACAAUUCUUUGCUUGAAAUUAAAUUCCAUCAGACUAUUUACUGUCAUCUACAUGAAUGAUAGCUGGUAACGAGGUCGUAGAGAACUGAUCAGUUCCUUGCAUUGUGGCCAUUCCUAUACUUUAUUAUGUUGGAUGUUAUUGUCAUACUUCACUGUUGUUUAUCUACUUUCAUUUCCUUUCAUGCAUUGUGGAAAGAAACUUUUUGAAUAUUAAUCAUGGAAAGAAAUAAUCUUAACUCUACCUUCAUCUGUGCAGUUGGUUGAUUUUGAAAGGUGGAAAAUAAUGCUUCCAUAUUCAAGAGCAGACUCUGGUUACAUCAUUAAUGGAGGGCCUUUUCAUGGACCUAUGAUUUCCUUAGAGAGACGGCAUAUGGAUGUCCAGGGAAAUACAUUUGCUUUUGGAGUACUGCUGCUAGAGCUAAUAAGCGGGAGACCUCCGUUUUGCAAAGACAGAGGGUGCUUGGUAGAUUGGGUAAGCAACAUGUAUCAGAUUUUUUUUAAAAAAGAAUCACCAGAUCAAGUUUAAACCCUAUUGAAAUUAUCAUCCCAUGAAAUGUUUUCAUUUCCUCCUUUCAUGCAGAAGAUAAGUGUCAUGACAGUGUACAACUUGAUGAAUUUAUUGAUGAAUAUCCAUCAUGGAGUUCAAGUUCAGUUUACCAUCCAUCUUGGCCACCCUGAAUGUGUUUUGUCCCAAAAUAGCAGAAUUCAUCGAGUUCUGCACUGUCAAAACUUCUCUCUUUGAAAUUAACCAAUGAAACUGAUGAUACUAUUUCUCAUACAAAAUUUCUCAAAUAGGGAUAGCUUGAAUAUGAGAUGGCCAUGCAUGGGAACCUGUUGAUUUUAACAAGAUGAGAAGCUGCACUGAUCAGUUUGAAAUCAUGUUUCGUAGAAAAUGGUUCGGUGAACUAUUAUACUAUUGAAUGGUAGUGUCCUUUAGUGAAGUUUAAAAUGUAAUGCGUCCUAUUGCAAUCAAUCUGCUAUAUAUUCCAUUAUGCUGCCGGGUAGGUAGGUAUUCUAUACAUCAUUUGUACAAGUGCAGUUAUCACAAGUCGAUAGAACGUCCAAAUAAUAAAUGUUUGCUCAUGCAUUUCCAUGUCACAGUGUUUGACUGGCACAUCACAAACUUGUGUCAUAGACAUGAUUUCUUGUAUUUGUUAUAUGCAUAUGUGCACAAGGUAGGCCAAUAUUAUUGACUUAGGGGUCGCAUUGCUGGCUAAAUUUGUAGUCUCUAAAUCUCAUGAAGUUAUCAUCAGCAAAGUUUGAAACCUUGAUUUUGGUUGUGGUUUUGUUCACUUUUUCCAAGUUUUGGUUUAAACUAGUUUAAAUUUGGUUUUCAGUAUUUUGGCUGAAGAAUAAGAAAAGAGGAUGAAAACAUUAUGGAGAAUAAAAAAAAAUAAAAUUAGCGAAUGAAACAAAUAUGACACAGCCUUGAAGAAUAAUGCAUCAUUUGAAAUCAAUAAAAUGUGUUCUGUAUUUUUGAGCUUAAAGACCGAAAGUUUGAAGAGAUAUAAAAAAAUUUGGAAAAACAAUGAAGUGUUAAAGAACUACUAUUUGAUAGCCUGACAAUUUACAAGUCUAAUAGUAGUAAAAUAUAUUAGUAUGAAGUUUCA